rnacentral:SRP_RNA from 12 species
CCGGGUCGUCGAUGCGGGCUCAAUGGCGCCUUUCAUGCGGCCGCGCCGAGUAAUCGUGUGUGCGUCGCUGCCGCGCAACGCCUCGGGUAAGGUGGUGAAACGUGAGCUGCGACUGCAGAUCCUCGCCAAGGGAUCCAGCAGAGAGAUGCCGACC